AUUUUUGCCGAAUUCCUUUUUAUUAAUUUUAAUUAAUUUUAUUUUAUUUUUUUUUCUUAUAUACUAAUUUUAUCAUUAUAACUAAUUUUUUAUUAUUAAAAAUUAUUUUUUUAUAUAAAUUUAAAUAUAAAUUUAAAUUUUAAAAUAAAUAAAAUUAUUUAUAAAAAAUUAUAAUUUAUAAAAAAUAUAAAUUUUAAAAUAUUUAAAUAAUUUAUUAAUAUUAUAAAAAUUUAAUUUAAAGCUUAUCCCCUAAAAUAUUUAAUUAAAUAUAUAAUUUUAUAUAACAAAUUUAAAAAAUUAUUAAAUUAAUUUAAAAUUAAAUUUUUUUCUAAAAAAACUAGAUAUUUUUAAAAACGAUUAACAUUUCAUUUCAAAUUAAUUAUUUAAAAUAAUUAUGUAACAUUAACUUUAAUAAUUAACUAUCUCUUUUAAAUUCGAGAUAUUUUUAUUUAAAAAUAUUUUAUUAAUAAACUCUGAUACACAAGAUACAAUAAAUUAAAUUUACUUAAAUAAUAAUCCAUAUUUAACUUUAUUUCAAAAUUCUUUCACAAUACUAUUAAACUAUAAAUUAAUAAAUUUUUUCUAAAAAAUACUUUAACCCCCAUUAAUUAUUUUUUAUAAUUAUUUUUAUUAUUUAUUUUAUUUAUUAAUUUUCCCCCA
rnacentral:rRNA from 1 species